ACAGAAGUCCACUCAUUCUUGGCAGGAUGGCUUCUCAUCGUCUGCUCCUCCUCUGCCUUGCUGGACUGGUAUUUGUGUCUGAGGCUGGCCCUACGGGCGCUGGUGAAUCCAAGUGUCCUCUGAUGGUCAAAGUUCUAGACGCUGUCCGAGGCAGUCCUGCCGUCAAUGUGGCUGUGAAUGUGUUCAAAAAGGCUGCUGAUGAGACCUGGGAGCCAUUUGCCUCUGGGUAAGUUGCCAAACAACCCUCCCACGGGACUUGGUUUUAUCUUCCUGUUUGCCCCUCACUUGGUAGAGAGAGGCUCACAUCAUCUGCUAAAGAAUUUACAAGUAGAUUGAAAAAUGUGGGCAGAGGUCAAGUAUGCCCUCUGAAGGAUGCCCUCUUUUUGUUUUGCUUAGCUAGGAAGUGACCAGGAACCUGAGCAUCAUUUAGGGGCAGACAGUAGAGAAAAGAAGGAAUCAGAACUCCUCUCCUCUAGCUGUGGUUUACAACCUUUUGGGUCACAGACCACUUUAUGUAGGUGAUGAAAAGUAAACAUUCUAUGCCCAGAAAAAAUGCACAGAUACAUACAUACACAAAACCAUAGAUGUGAUCUUAGGAGUUUCACAGAUUCCCUGGUGUCCCUGGGUAACACCAAAGCUGAGAGUCCUUGUCUCAGAAUUUUAGGAAAGAGGUACAAUGUGUAUUAACCCAUUAACAAAAGGAAAGGAAUUCAGAAAUAUUAUUAACCAGGCAUCUGUCUGUAGU
rnacentral:sRNA from 1 species